GAUGAACGCUAGCGGCAGGCUUAACACAUGCAAGUCGAGGGGCAGCGUGAUGAAGUAGCAAUACGGAUUUGACGGCGACCGGCGCACGGGUGCGUAACGCGUAUGCAACCUACCCAUAACAGGGGGAUAACACUGAGAAAUUGGUACUAAUACCCCAUAACAGUUCAAGAGGCAUCUUUGGAUUUGAAAGUUCCGGCGGUUAAAGAUGGACAUGCGUUGUAUUAGCUAGAUGGUGAGGUAACGGCUCACCAUGGCGACGAUACAUAGGGGGACUGAGAGGUUAACCCCCCACACUGGUACUGAGACACGGACCAGACUCCUACGGGAGGCAGCAGUGAGGAAUAUUGGUCAAUGGACGCAAGUCUGAACCAGCCAUGCCGCGUGCAGGAAGACGGCUCUAUGAGUUGUAAACUGCUUUGUACAAGGGUAAACCUCGGUACGUGUACCGAGCUGAAAGUACUGUACGAAUAAGGAUCGGCUAACUCCGUGCCAGCA
rnacentral:rRNA from 1 species